rnacentral:rRNA from 1 species
GUAGGUGGCAAGCGUUGUCCGGAAUUAUUGGGCGUAAAGCGCGCGCAGGCGGUUCUUUAAGUCUGAUGUGAAAGCCCACGGCUCAACCGUGGAGGGUCAUUGGAAACUGGAGAACUUGAGUACAGAAGAGGAAAGCGGAAUUCCACGUGUAGCGGUGAAAUGCGUAGAGAUGUGGAGGAACACCAGUGGCGAAGGCGGCUUUCUGGUCUGUAACUGACGCUGAGGCGCGAAAGCGUGGGGAGCAAACAGGGAUUAGAUACCCUGGUAGUCCACGCCGUAAACGAUGAGUGCUAAGUGUUAGGGGGGUUUUCCGCCCCCUUAGUGCUGCAGCUAACGCAUUAAGCACUCCGCCUGGGAGUACGGCGCAAGGCUG